UACGUAGGAUGCAAGCGUUGUCCGGAUUUACUGGGCGUAAAGCGCGCGCAGGCGGCACAUUCAGUAAGGUGUGAAAUAUCCCGGCUCAACCGGGAGGGUGCACUUUAGACUGAUGAGCUUGAGGUCGGUAGAGGGGGGUGGAAUUGCUGGUGUAGCGGUGAAAUGCGUAGAGAUCAGCAGGAACACCCGUGGCGAAGGCGGCCCCCUGGGCCGUACCCGACGCUGAGGCGCGAAGGCUAGGGGAGCGAACGGG
rnacentral:rRNA from 1 species